CAACAGCUUUAAGCUUUAUCCAACUAUUUUUCAAAAAUGUGGGCGUGGCAGUUUUGGGGCGUUAGAGUGUGCGUGGCAAAAACUUCAUCACCCAUUAUUCACACGUCGGUGUCGCUACAACCGACUAGGACGGCUCCAACUCCCCUACAGUGAACACUCACUCAAACAUUCCGGCAGUGAUCACCCUUGAUCGUCGAGCAGAAAAUGAUACUUAAGAAGCUCCUGCUGGAGAUCUUUCUCGUCGAAGCCGAGAAUGUAGUUAAUUCUUGCCCUCUGACCUAUCUGCCUGUUACGGCGGACCAGGAUGUAUAACAAUCUGAAAGGAAUAGCAAAUGUUCCCGAUCUUCCCGGCGACGACGGACAUACGCCUGAUAGGUGAAGCACAAGAAAGCCGUAGCGUGUCGCACGGAUGUUAAGAGAUCGAUUUAGGAACGAUGGGCACAUGAGUAUCUAUCCACGCUGCUCCGCAAGGAGAAGUGGUGCGCAGGAAGAAGUGGUCUAAUUCGGUCAUUCCUCGUAGAAAAUGGAGGAAUGUCGUCGUGGAGAAAGUGUACCCCUUUAAUUAAAUCGAAAGUUUUAAUGUGUCAAGUGCACAGAAAGUAAAAAUUUCUUACUGUGUUUCCAAUUCAAAAAAAGGAAAUCAGAUAAGGUUUAAAGCAAGGAAUAACAAGGUGCGUACCCCCAUACGAUUUUUGAAGACGACUUUUUGAGCUGGCUCUGUCGUCUGUCUGUCGAAUUUAUGUUUAACAGCCAGAGAGCGGCGCUUUUGCCGACCACCGCACACGUACUCUGAUGAAUGUAAAUUUUGAAAAUAUUAAAGUUCAUAGAAUUUAAAUUAA